GAUGAACGCUGGCGGCGUGCCUAAUACAUGCAAGUCGAGCGAACGGACGAGAAGCUUGUUUCUCUGAUGUUAGCGGCGGACGGGUGAGUAACACGUGGAUAACCUACCUAUAAGACUGGGAUAACUACGGGAAACCGGAUCUUAUACCGGAGAAUAUUUUGAACCGCAUGGUUCAAAAGUAAAAUACGGCCUUGCUGUCACUUAUAGAGGGAUCCGCGCUGCAUGAGCUAGUAGGUAAGUUAAAGGCUUACCAAGGCAACGAUGCAUAGCCGACGUGAGAGACUGAUAGGCCACACUGGAACUGGUACGCGGUCCAGAGUCCUGAGGGAGGCAGCAGUAGGGAAUCUUCCGCAAUGGGCGGAAGCAUGACGGAGCAACGCCGCGUGAGUGGUGGAGAUCUUCGGAUCGUAAAACUCUGUUAUUAGUGAAGAACAUAUGUGUAAGUAACUGUGCACAUCUUGACGGUACCUAAUCAGAAAGCCACGGCUAACUACGUG
rnacentral:rRNA from 1 species